UUAAGCGACUAAGCGUACACGGUGGAUGCCCUGGCAGUCAGAGGCGAUGAAGGACGUGCUAAUCUGCGAAAAGCGUCGGUAAGGUGAUAUGAACCGUUAUAACCGGCGAUGUCCGAAUGGGGAAACCCAGUGCAAUUCGUUGCACUAUCGUUAACUGAAUACAUAGGUUAACGAGGCGAACCGGGGGAACUGAAACAUCUAAGUACCCCGAGGAAAAGAAAUCAACCGAGAUUCCCCCAGUAGCGGCGAGCGAACGGGGAGCAGCCCAGAGUCUGAAUCAGCUUGUGUGUUAGUGGAACGGUCUGGAAAGUCCGACGGUACAGGGUGAUAGUCCCGUACACCAAAAUGCACAGGUUGUGAACUCGAAGAGUAGGGCGGGACACGUGGUAUCCUGUCUGAAUAUGGGGGGACCAUCCUCCAAGGCUAAAUACUCCUGACUGACCGAUAGUGAACCAGUACCGUGAGGGAAAGGCGAAAAGAACCCCGGCGAGGGGAGUGAAAAAGAACCUGAAACCGUGUACGUACAAGCAGUGGGAGCACCUUCGGGUGUGACUGCGUACCUUUUGUAUAAUGGGUCAGCGACUUAUAUUCUGUAGCAAGGUUAACCGUAUAGGGGAGCCGCAGGGAAACCGAGUCUUAACUGGGCGUUAAGUUGCAGGGUAUAGACCCGAAACCCGGUGAUCUAGCCAUGGGCAGGUUGAAGGUUGGGUAACACUAACUGGAGGACCGAACCGACUAAUGUUGAAAAAUUAGCGGAUGACUUGUGGCUGGGGGUGAAAGGCCAAUCAAACCGGGAGAUAGCUGGUUCUCCCCGAAAGCUAUUUAGGUAGCGCCUCGUGAACUCAUCUUCGGGGGUAGAGCACUGUUUCGGCUAGGGGGUCAUCCCGACUUACCAACCCGAUGCAAACUACGAAUACCGAAGAAUGUUAUCACGGGAGACACACGGCGGGUGCUAACGUCCGUCGUGAAGAGGGAAACAACCCAGACCGCCAGCUAAGGUCCCAAAGUCAUGGUUAAGUGGGAAACGAUGUGGGAAGGCACAGACAGCCAGGAUGUUGGCUUAGAAGCAGCCAUCAUUUAAAGAAAGCGUAAUAGCUCACUGGUCGAGUCGGCCUGCGCGGAAGAUGUAACGGGGCUAAACCAUGCACCGAAGCUGCGGCAGCGACACUAUGUGUUGUUGGGUAGGGGAGCGUUCUGUAAGCCUGCGAAGGUGGCCUGUGAGGGUUGCUGGAGGUAUCAGAAGUGCGAAUGCUGACAUAAGUAACGAUAAAGCGGGUGAAAAGCCCGCUCGCCGGAAGACCAAGGGUUCCUGUCCAACGUUAAUCGGGGCAGGGUGAGUCGACCCCUAAGGCGAGGCCGAAAGGCGUAGUCGAUGGGAAACAGGUUAAUAUUCCUGUACUUGGUGUUACUGCGAAGGGGGGACGGAGAAGGCUAUGUUAGCCGGGCGACGGUUGUCCCGGUUUAAGCAUGUAGGCGGAGGUUCCAGGUAAAUCCGGUACCUUUUAACGCUGAGGUGUGAUGACGAGGCACUACGGUGCUGAAGUAACAAAUGCCCUGCUUCCAGGAAAAGCCUCUAAGCAUCAGGUAACAUCAAAUCGUACCCCAAACCGACACAGGUGGUCAGGUAGAGAAUACCAAGGCGCUUGAGAGAACUCGGGUGAAGGAACUAGGCAAAAUGGUGCCGUAACUUCGGGAGAAGGCACGCUGGUGUGUAGGUGAAGUCCCUGCGGAUGGAGCUGAGACCAGUCGAAGAUACCAGCUGGCUGCAACUGUUUAUUAAAAACACAGCACUGUGCAAACACGAAAGUGGACGUAUACGGUGUGACGCCUGCCCGGUGCCGGAAGGUUAAUUGAUGGGGUUAUCCGUAAGGAGAAGCUCUUGAUCGAAGCCCCGGUAAACGGCGGCCGUAACUAUAACGGUCCUAAGGUAGCGAAAUUCCUUGUCGGGUAAGUUCCGACCUGCACGAAUGGCGUAAUGAUGGCCAGGCUGUCUCCACCCGAGACUCAGUGAAAUUGAACUCGCUGUGAAGAUGCAGUGUACCCGCGGCAAGACGGAAAGACCCCGUGAACCUUUACUAUAGCUUGACACUGAACAUUGAGCCUUGAUGUGUAGGAUAGGUGGGAGGCUUUGAAGCGUGGACGCCAGUCUGCGUGGAGCCAACCUUGAAAUACCACCCUUUAAUGUUUGAUGUUCUAACGU
rnacentral:rRNA from 1 species